AUACGGAGGGUCCAAGCGUUGUUCGGAAUCACUGGGCGUAAAGCGCGUGCAGGCGGCCCAUUAAGUCAGAUGUGAAAGCCCUCGGCUCAACCAAGGAACUGCAUCUGAAACUACUGGGCUUGAGUACGGGAGAGGAGAGUGGAAUUCCCGGUGUAGAGGUGAAAUUCGUAGAUAUCGGGAAGAACACCGGUGGCGAAGGCGACUCUCUGGACCGAUACUGACGCUGAGACGCGAAAGCGUGGGGAGCAAACAGGAUUAGAAACCCCGGUAGUCC
rnacentral:rRNA from 1 species